GGACAACUUACCCCAAGAGUCCGGGAUAACCCCNGGGAAACUGGGGAUAAUAUCGGAUAGAUCAUCUGUGCUGGAAGGCUGGGUGGUUGAAACUUCCGGGGGCUUUUGGAUGGGUCUGCGGCUGAUUAGGUUGUUGCCGGUGUAACGUACCGUCAAGCCUGUAAUCAGUACGGGUUGUGGGAGCAAGAGCCCGGAGAUGGAUUCUGAGACACGAAUCCAGGCCCUACGGGGCGCAGCAGGCGCGAAAACUCUACAAUGCAGGCAACUGCGAUAGGGGAACAUCGAGUGAUCCUCAUAUUGGGGGUCUGUCCUUCCGUCUAAAAAACGGGAGUUAGCAAGGGCCGGGCAAGACCGGUGCCAGCCGCCGCGGUAAUACCGGCGGCUCGAGUGGUGGCCGAUAUUAUUGAGUCUAAAGGGUCCGUAGCCGGCUUGGCAAGUCUCUUGGGAAAUCCGGCGGCUUAACCGUCGGUCGUCCGGGAGAUACUACUUUGCUUGGGACUGGGAGAGGCGUGAGGUACUCAGGGGGUAGGAGUGAAAUCCUGUAAUCCUUUGGGGACCACCGGUGGCGAAGGCGUCACGCCAGAACAGGUCCGACGGUGAGGGACGAAAGCUAGGGGCACGAACCGGAUUAGAUACCCGGGUAGUCCUAGCCGUAAACGAUGCUCGCUAGGUGUCACGACAAUCGUGAAUUGUCGUGGUGCCGUAGGGAAGCCGUGAAGCGAGCCACUUGGGAAAUACGGCCGCAAGGCUGAAACUUAA
rnacentral:rRNA from 1 species